AAAUGAUUGUUCACAAAGGCACCAUCCAAUAAUCAUGAUGUGAAUAUGUGCAUAGGCAGAAAAUUGGCUUUAUCAAUGAUUCCUCUUGAAAUUUUGCCGGAAAGGAGUCUGUUAGGAUCCAAGUAAGUAGCUGGGUGGUUAUUGAUGUCAUUUUCUGUUAGGAGAGUAGUUAAUAUUCCUGUUGAUAAAUAGUGAGGGUCCAUUAUAAUUGAUUUAAACAACAGAUGGAAUACAAGAUUCUCUUUCUGUCUUCUUGGUACUUUUCUCUCCUUCUUUCUCUCUUCUUGUUUCCCUCUCCUGUUCUCCCUAAUUCUUUUCACCUUCUGCCUCCUUUUCAUUCUAUUGUCCUUGCUGCCAAGCAGGGGCAGACUCAGAGUUAAAUAUGGAGGGGGGCCAAAUUUUAAACAACUACUAUAAUUAAUGAAAAUGUAUAAACUAUAUUGUUAUCAAACAUUAUUUUUUUGGAUAAAUCAUAUAUUUUAUUAGAAACCUUAUCUAAUUCUGACAAAUCCUCAACAUCAAAUAACUUGGACAUUAAAUACAUCUUGACAAUUUAGCUCUACUAUCAUAUGUAACAUAUAAAAAAAAAAAGUUUGUCACUCUUUUAAGUCACAAAAAUAAUCCACAAGUGAACUUUUAGGAAAUUUUUCAACAAUUUCUUUUUUAA
rnacentral:misc_RNA from 1 species